CGAUGUGUGAUGGCGUUUCCUUGGACGAGAUGAUGAUUUUGGCGAGAAAAAUAUUGCGCUAACCUUCAGGUUCCUAAAUAUGAAAAGUAAUGUUCUUUCAAGAAAGUCAACGAGGUCCCUUACUCCCUUGUUUGCUAACCCAAUGGCUGCUACCCUUGAGGGUAAUCCUUCGCUACUGAUCAUGGACUCCAUUGGUGAAACUGAAAACAAC